rnacentral:rRNA from 1 species
GACGAACCGUGCGAACGUUGUUCGGAUUCACUGGGCUUAAAGGGCGCGUAGGCGGGCAAUCAAGUCAGGGGUGAAAGCCUCCAGCUUAACUGGAGAAGUGCCUCUGAUACUGGUCGUCUUGAGGGAGGUAGGGGCAUGUGGAACUUCCGGUGGAGCGGUGAAAUGCGUAGAUAUCGGAAGGAACGCCGGUGGCGAAAGCGACGUGCUGGACCUCUUCUGACGCUGAGGCGCGAAAGCUAGGGGGAGCGAACGGG